ACUGACAUAGCUGAGUCAUAUGGUGAUUCCAUUCCUUGUUCAUUGAGGAAUCUCCAUACUGCUUUCCAGAGUGGUUGUACUAAUUUGCAGUCUCACCAGCAAU
rnacentral:pre_miRNA from 1 species